UACGAAGGGGGCAAGCGUUACUCGGAAUUACUGGGCGUAAAGCGUGCGUAGGUGGUCUGUUAAGUCUGAUGUGAAAGCCCUGGGCUCAACCUGGGAAUUGCAUUGGAUACUGGCAGGCUAGAGGGCGGUAGAGGAUGGCGGAAUUCCCGGUGUAGCAGUGAAAUGCGUAGAGAUCGGGAGGAACAUCUGUGGCGAAGGCGGCCAUCUGGACCAGCACUGACACUGAGGCACGAAAGCGUGGGGAGCAAACAGG
rnacentral:rRNA from 1 species